AUUGAACGCUGGCGGCAUGCCUUACACAUGCAAGUCGAACGGCAGCACGGGGGGCAACCCUGGUGGCGAGUGGCGAACGGGUGAGUAAUACAUCGGAACGUGCCCCGUAGCGGGGGACAACCAGUCGAAAGACUGGCUAAUACCGCAUACGCUCCACGGAGGAAAGCAGGGGAUCGCAAGACCUUGCACUAUGGGAGCGGCCGAUGCCCGAUUAGCUAGUUGGUGAGGAAAAGCUCACCAAGGCAACGAUCGGUAGCUGGUCUGAGAGGACGACCAGCCACACUGGGACUGAGACACGGCCCAGACUCCUACGGGAGGCAGCAGUGGGGAAUUUUGGACAAUGGGCGCAAGCCUGAUCCAGCCAUGCCGCGUGCGGGAAGAAGG
rnacentral:rRNA from 1 species